rnacentral:rRNA from 1 species
UACGUAGGUGGCAAGCGUUGUCCGGAUUUAUUGGGUUUAAAGGGUGCGUAGGCGGUCUAUUAAGUCAGUGCUGAAAUAUCCCGGCUUAACCGGGAGGGUGGCAUUGAUACUGAUGGACUUGAGUAGAGUCGAGGUAGGCGGAAUUGACGGUGUAGCGGUGAAAUGCUUAGAUAUCGUCAAGAACACCGAUAGUGUAGACAGUUUACUAGGCUCAAACUGACGCUGAGGCACGAAAGUGUGGGGAUCAAACAGG